ACGGGAGGCAGCAGUGGGGGAUAUUGCACAAUGGGGGAAACCCUGAUGCAGCGACGCCGCGUGAGUGAAGAAGUAUUUCGGUAUGUAAAGCUCUAUCAGCAGGGAAGAUGAUGACGGUACCUGACUAAGAAGCCCCGGCUAACUACGUGCCAGCAGCCGCGGUAAUACGUAGGGGGCAAGCGUUAUCCGGAUUUACUGGGUGUAAAGGGAGCGUAGGCGGCCAGACAAGUCAGGUGUGAAAACCCGGGGCUUAACCCCGGGACUGCACUUGAAACUGCCUGGCUGGAGUGCAGGAGAGGCAAGUGGAAUUCCUAGUGUAGCGGUGAAAUGCGUAGAUAUUAGGAAGAACACCGGUGGCGAAGGCGACUUGCUGGACUGAGACUGACGCUGAGGCUCGAAAGCGUGGGGAGCAAACAGGAUUAGAUACCCUGGUA
rnacentral:rRNA from 1 species